rnacentral:tRNA from 1 species
GCGAGAGUGGCGGAACUGGCAGACGCACCAGACUUAGGAUCUGGCGCCGGAAGGCUUAAGGGUUCGACUCCCUUCUCUCGCA